UGUCCACUGUCCAGAAUCUCCACUCUUCCACCCCUUUGCUGAUUUAAGUAAGAGUGAUGACCUGCUCCCUGCAGGCACUGAGGAAUACAUCCAUGCAAGGAUUUAACAGAGAAAUGACAGGAAAACCCUUAGCACUGUCUAAGCGAUCACUAAGGAUUACAAUAAAAAGCAACUAGUGAAGGCAUUUAAGAGGAAAUUUCCCUGCAAUGGGACGGUAAUUGAGCAUCCAGAAUAUGGAGAAGUCAUUCAGCUACAGGGUGACCAGCGCAAGAACAUAUGCCAGUUCCUUGUAGAGGUGGGACUGGCUAAGGACGAUCUGCUGAUGGUUCAAGGGU
rnacentral:lncRNA from 1 species